rnacentral:rRNA from 1 species
GAUGAACGCUGGCGGUAUGCUUAACACAUGCAAGUCGAACGGUACCUUCGGGUAUAGUGGCGGACGGGUGAGUAACGCGUGAGAAUCUAUCUUCAGGUCGGGGACAACAGUUAGAAAUGACUGCUAAUACCGGAUGUGCCGAAAGGUAAAAGAUUUAUUGCCUGAAAAAGAGCUCGCGUCAGAUUAGCUAGUAGGUGGUGUAAGAGACUACCUAGGCUUCGAUCUGUAGCUGGUCUGAGAGGACGAUCAGCCACACUGGAACUGAGACACGGUCCAGACUCCUACGGGAGGCAGCAGUGGGGAAUUUUCCGCAAUGGGCGAAAGCCUGACGGAGCAAUACCGCGUGAGGAACGAAGGCUCUUGGGUCGUAAACCUCUUUUCUCAAGGAAGAUUCAGACGGUACUUGAGGAAUAAGCAUCGGCUAACUCUGUG